AUUAUAUGGCAAAUGAUAGGUUUGAUAAUAUUCCAUAGUAUGACUUGUUCUAGAAUCUGCUUUCAUUUUCCCUGGCAGCCUCAUCUCCUUCCAGAACUGAAUCAGCCAGCAUCUCUAGGGCUGAGGCUCAGAAAUCUGCAGCGUUCACAAGCUCUCUCAUGUGAUUCCACUGCAUAGUCCGGACACCAGGGAUAAAACGAUGAACAGCACAGUCCCUUUGCUGUAUAGAUAAUAUUUUAGAGUUCUGUUUAUAAUAGGAUUUUGUUUACAAUAAUUACUUUUCUGACUACAAAAGAAAUACAUGCUUACUGCACAAAGCUUAGAAAAUACAGAAAGUCCAAAGAUGAAUACAAAACUGUAUCAUUCAAUGAUAAAGUUAAUAUUGCAUACUGCUAUGGUUUGAAUGUGACAAAGUUCAUGUGUUAGAAACUUAAUCCCCAAUGCAAAAGUGUUGAGAGGUGGGACCUUUAAGAGGUGAUUAGGUCACAAGGGCAUGAAUGGAUUAAUGCUGUUAUCUCGGGAGUAGGUUCCUAAUAAAAGGAUGGGUUCGGUCCCCUUCUCCCCCAUCUCUCCCCUGCUCUCUUGCCCUUCAAGCCUUCCGCCAUGUGAAGAUGUAGCAAGACGCCCUCGCUAGAUGUGGGCCCCUUAACUUUAGACUUCUCAGUUUCCAGAACGUGCCGCUUUCUAGAACCAACUCUGAGGACUUUAACUGAGGCUGAGUGACACACAAGAGGAGCAGCAGCCCUAAAGGAAGCCCGCCUACCCUGGAGGAUGCCUUCCACUUCAGAUAGGCCAGAAAGCCAGUCCCUGCCUAAGCACACCACAGGAGAACCCUGUAGUCCUCCACAGAGAAGGUGUCUGUCAAGCAAGAAGGUGACUGUGAACCCAGAACGUUCUGUUUGAUUCUGGCCUCUCCCCAUGCUUCUCAAUGUGGAUUCUAACUUGCAGUGACAUCAGGAACAAAGCCAUUACAUUCUCUCUGUACCUUUGCUGGGUCCUUUUAAAUAAAGCAGGACAAAACAGAAAGGGACUUCACAUAGUUUAUGAAGAAAAGUUCAAAAAAAAAAAAAGUGAAAA